AUCUGCUGGCAUCACGGCACAACAUCACUCUAAUUACAGUCAGAAGACAGUUGAAGUAAACUUGUGUGGACUUAUGGACAGGCUCGGUAAGAAAUGUUAUAUAUAUUUUUUGAAAUGAUCAGAACAUUAACCAUGUGUGUUCACUUGUUGUGUGCUGUUCUAUAGUUUCGACCCAAUGAUUCGUCUGACAAACAAAGAAAUUCACAUCCUGCAUGCCCAGGCAUGGAUCAAAGCUGGCAAGACAUUAAAUAAUGUCAUCUUCACAGAAGAAUAAACCGUGGCCCUGGAGCAAAUUGCUCAAAAUUGCUACAGAAAAAAAGGAAGAAAAUCACGCAAGCCGAGUCCCAAGCAUCCGCUCAAACUCCAUGUGUGAGGGACAAUUUCUCACCAGGGACCAGGCCCAUAUUUGAUGGUAUCUUUGAGGAAGAAAUCAUCAAGAGAUAUGCUGCACCUAUAUCAGAGAGGUGUUUCUGGGAACACAUUGUUUCUUUCAAGACAAUGACCCAAAACACACUGCCGCCCGGGUUUGCAUUGCAUAUGAAGGCAUAAACUGGGUCAAGACGCCAGCAGAGUCUCUUGAUUUAAACCCGAUCAAACUUGUUUGGUAUCAACUGAAAACUUUCAUCUGUAACUCUGCCAAGCCGACAGGCAGAUAUGUACUGGUCAAAUCAUCAAGAUGAGAAAUUGACGAUACAACAAUGCAACAAAUACAUUGAUCAUCUCAGGUUUGACAUGUGGUCGUGGAGCUGGGUGGAAAUGUGACUAAAAAG